UCCGAAUUGGUGUAGGGGUUAACAUUGCCGCUUCUCACGUCAGCGAUUAUGUAAUGCGUUCGCGGCAGCCCGGGGUUCGAUUCCCCGAUUCGGAA